GAGGGAUGGCCGAGCGGUUGAUGGCGCUGGUCUUGAAAACCAGUGAUGUCGAAAGGCACCGGGGGUUCGAAUCCCUCUCUCUCC
rnacentral:tRNA from 1 species